CCAAUGGCUUUAAAGGAUUAAAGCCAUACACAGUUUCAAAAGGUGAAUAU
rfam:Corchorus capsularis cultivar CVL-1 contig13151, whole genome shotgun sequence.